GGGGUUGCUGUUUCGCCAAGCUUGCUGUCUCUCCGGCGGCGGGCGCGGAUUUCUUUGCCUGGUUCUCCGAGAUCGCCUCCGCAUCCGACGGCGGGCGAUUCGCUUCGUCGUCUCAUCGUCUAUGGCAGCCGCAGGUGUUUCGCCAAGAAGAAAGUUGAACCCGAGCUGAAUGGCGAUGGGAUUCUGGCUCUAGCAGCGGUGCGGAGGAGGGGCCGAGUUCAGCACAAGGACCUGUUGCGGGAGACGAGUAUGACUGAAGUGGAGGCGACAUUCUUUUCUGAAUUCGUUCGUCCAUUUUGAUGAGCCGACUUUUGACAAACCUGAGAUUUCUCGUGACAAUGUUUAGUGUGUGGUAUAAGACAUAUUAAGACCAGACAAUCCUUUCUGAAACUUUUUUCCUUUUCUGAUGUGCACAAUUAUUAUGGUUCAUCUUGUUUUUUCAACGUUAUCUGUGGCUUAUAAACCA